rnacentral:rRNA from 1 species
UACGAAGGGUGCAAACGUUGCUCGGAAUUAUUGGGCGUAAAGCGCACGUAGGCGGCUUGGCAAGUCGGAUGUGAAAUCCCUCGGCUCAACCAAGGAAGUGCAUCCGAAACUGCCGAGCUUGAGUACUUAAGAGGAUCGCGGAAUUCCUGGUGUAGCGGUGAAAUGCGCAGAUAUCAGGAGGAACACCGGUGGCGAAGGCGGGUCUCUGGGCCGAUACUGACGCUGAGGAGCGAAAGCGUGGGGAGCGAACAGG